ACUCAAAGGAAUAGACGGGGGCCCGCACAAGCGGUGGAGCAUGUGGUUCAAUUCGAUGCAGAGCGAAGAACCUUACCUGGGCUUGACAUGCAGGAAGUAGAACCCCGAAAGGGGAACGACCCGUUAAAUCGGGAGCCUGCACAGGUGGUGCAUGGCUGUCGUCAGCUCGUGCCGUGAGGUGUUGGGUUAAGUCCCGCAACGAGCGCAACCCUCACCCUAUGUUGCCAACGGUUCGGCCGGGCACUCUUAGGGAACUGCCGGCGAAGAGCUGGAGGAAGGGGGGGAUGACGUCAAGUCCGUAUGCCCCUUAUGUCCAGGGCUACACACAUGCUACAAUGGUCGGUACAGAGGGUUGCCAACCCGCGAGGGGGAGCCAAUCCCACAAAGCCGAUCUCAGUUCGGAUUGUAGGCUGCAACUCGCCUACAUGAAGUAGGAAUCGCUAGUAAGCGCAGAUCAGCAGGCUGCGCUGAAUACGUUCCCGGGCCUUGCACACACCGCCCGU
rnacentral:rRNA from 1 species